CGUCACCUUACCGUUGCUUCGGCGGGGGGCCCUUACCGGGCUGCGUCCGACCCUCUCGGGGGCCGGGCAACCCGCCGGAGGCGUAUAAACUCUCGAUAUCUUAUGGCAUCUCUGAGUAACUUACACAAUAAGUUAAAACUUUCAACAACGGAUCUCUUGGUUCUGGCAUCGAUGAAGAACGCAGCGAAAUGCGAUAAGUAAUGUGAAUUGCAGAAUUCAGUGAAUCAUCGAAUCUUUGAACGCACAUUGCGCCCGCUAGUAUUCUGGCGGGCAUGCCUGUUCGAGCGUCAUUUCAACCAUCAAGCCCUUAGCUUGUGUUGGGGACCUGCGGCUGCCGCAGCCCCCGAAAUGCAGUGGCGGGCUCGUUGUCACACCGAGUGCAGUAAUUAUUCUUCUCUCCGGGCGUGGCGGCGGGUUCCAGCCGUGAAACCACUAAAUUUAUCAAGGUUGACCUCGGAUCAGGUAGGAAUACCCGCUGAACUUAAGCAUAUCAAUAAGCGGAGGA
rnacentral:rRNA from 1 species